GGAACGGGAGCGUGCUGCGGAGAAGGAAAAUUCCAGGGGAAUUGCCACGAGAGGAAAUACUUCAGAGGGGCUCCCCUCCAGAUAAGCCCUGAAUAUGCCAGGAGGUUUCAGCCGGGAGGAAAGGAGCUGUGGAAGAAAAGCAGCCUGAAAAUAGCCAGCAGGGAUCAUCAGGUUUUCCAGGCAAGAAGAACAAGGAGAGAGAUGAGGGAAUCGGGUUCCAAUUCCUAAUGAUUUGGUGGGUGCAGGAAUGAUUUCUGUGUGUUUUCCAGUCCCUUUUGAUUCCUGAGAUGAUUUUAAAAUGAUGGCUUUAGCAAUCAACUAAAUCGGAGAUGUUGUUUUUGAGAGGAAAUGAUGCCAAAUAAAUGCAGAGUUUUGGGUCAGUUUU